GAUAAACGCUGGCGGCGUGCCUAACACAUGCAAGUCGAACGCUCUGGAGCAAUCCAGAGAGUGGCGGACGGGUGAGGAACACGUGGGUUAUCUACCUUGAGGUGAGGAAUACCGGCGAGAAAUCGCCGACAAGACCGCAUACGUUUGGACAUCCAAACAAAGUCGCAAGACGCCACAAGAUGAGCCUGCGGCCGAUUAGCCAGUUGGUGGGGUAAAGGCCUACCAAAGCGACGAUCGGUAGCUGGUCUGAGAGGACGAUCAGCCACACUG
rnacentral:rRNA from 1 species